CAGUGUUUGUUUGAAUGACAGUUUUCAGUUCUUUCGGGUGCGCUCAGGAGUGGAAUUGCUGGGCCAUGUGGAACUUCUGCGUUUACGUUUUUGAGGAACUGGCAGACUGUUUGCCACGGCGGCUACACCACGUUACAGCCCUGUCAGCAGUGUGUAGAGGCCCUGUUUCUCCACAGCCUCACCGACACUCAUUAUUUUCCAUAUUCUUGAUUACAGCUCUCCUAGUAGGUGGGAAGUGGUAUCUCAUUUUAGUUUCGAUUUGCAUCUCGGUAAUGACAAAGGAUGCCUAGCAUGUUUUUGUGUGCUUGUUGACCGUUUGUAUAUCUUCUUCCAAAAAAUGCCCAUUGAAGUCUUUUGCCCUUUUUUUUUUUUUUUUUUUUGAGACGGAGUCUUGCUCUGUCGCCCAGGCUGGAGUGCAAUGGCCAGAUCUCAGUUCACUGCAAGCUCCGCCUCCCAGGUUUAUGCCAUUCUCCUGCCUCAACCUCCCGAGUAGCUGGGACUACAGGCGCCCGCCACCUCGCCUGGCUAAUUUUCUUGUAUUUUUUUUAGUAGAGACAGGGUUUCACCGUGUUAGCCAGGAUGGUCUCGAUCUCCUGACCUCGUGAUCCGCCUGUCUCGCCCUCCCAAAGUGCUGGGAUUACAGGCUCGAGCCACUGCACCCGGUCUUUUGCCCAUUUUUAAUGGGUUGUUUGUCAUUUUGUUGCUGAGUUGUAUGAAUAGUUUGUGUGUUCUGAAUACUUGGUCCUGAUGAGCUCAGUGAACAUUUAUAAAUAACUCACCAUAGCAACCCCCGCCCCAUGAAAACACCAACCAUGACAGCCCCCAGGGGCCCCUCAUCCCUCCUGGUCCCUGCCCCGGGGGCCCCAUCCUGACUUCCAUUGCUGGCAGCAGAUAGGCUCAUGUUGGCCGCUCUUGAAUUCCUCCUGCCUGGGCUGCCCCGUGUGUUCCACCAAGUGUGGCAGAGAGGCGAUGUGCUGCCGUGUGCAGCGGCUCCACCUGCUUGCUGAGAAGGUUCCCGGUGCGUUUGGAAGGCAGAGGCUCCUGGGCUGGCUGGUAGGAAGUCCUCCAAGGGCAGGACUCAGACUAGGCGCCCACCUCAACGCCUGUCGACGAGAAACAGCCUCAGCAGGAACUCGGGCAGACCAGGGACGGUGCCUGCUCCACGACACCCGGGAGUCUGCUGUAAGACCAGGAGGCUGGGGCCUGCGGGGACUGCCAGCUGCACCUGCCUCCCUGGGCCACCUCCUUCUCAUGGCCUGGACUUGGAAGCCACCCACGGCCACUUUCUAUUGCUUGGAGCCAUCUGGAGGGGAUGGGCCCAGAGGCCACUGCCCACGGGGAGAGUCCUGGCUCUGGAGAGCGCGGGGCCGGGAACAUUAUCUCAGGGACACCCCGGAGCUGUGGUAUCCCCGACACGAGCUUGAGGCACACCAGCUCUCAGUCCACAUUUGCCAAAGGAGAGAGGAACAGCCAACAUGUAUGACCCUCACCGUGUGCAGCCAACACGUAUGACCCUCACCGUGUGCAGACAACACGUAUGACCCUCACCGUGUGCAGACAACACGUAUGACCCUCACCGUGUGCAGCCAACAGUGUGACCCUCACCGUGUGCGGCCAACACGUAUGACCCUCACCGUGUGCAGACAACAGUGUGACCCUCACCGUGUGCGGCCAACACGUAUGACCCUCACCGUGUGCAGACAACAGUGUGACCCUCACCGUGUGCAGGCAACAGUGUGACCCUCACCGUGUGCAGGCAACAGUGUGACCCUCACCGUGUGCAGACAACAGUGUGACCCUCACCGUGUGCAGACAACACGUAUGACCCUCACCGUGUGCAGACAACAGUGUGACCCUCACCGUGUGCAGACAACAGUGUGACCCUCACCGUGUGCGGCCAACACGUAUGACCCUCACCGUGUGCAGACAGCAGUGUGACCCUCACCGUGUGCACCCAACAGUGUGACCCUCACCGUGUGCAGACAACAGUGUGACCCUCACCGUGUGCAGACAACAGUGUGACCCUCACCGUGUGCAAACAAACACGUAUGACCCUCACCGUGUGCAGACAGCAGUGUGACCCUCACCGUGUGCAGACAACAGUGUGACCCUCACCGUGUGCAGACAACAGUGUGACCCUCACCGUGUGCGGCCAGCAGUGUGACCCUCACCGUGUGCACCCAGCAGUGUGACCCUCACCGUGUGCAGACAACAGUGUGACCCUCACCGUGUGCACCCAACAGUGUGACCCUCACCGUGUGCAGCCAACAGUGUGACCCUCACCGUGUGCAGCCAACAGUGUGACCCUCACCGUGUGCAGACAACAGUGUGACCCUCACCGUGUGCAGACAACAGUGUGACCCUCACCGUGUGCAGACAGCAGUGUGACCCUCACCGUGUGCAGACAGCAGUGUGAGCCCUCAUGGUGUGCAGACAACACGUGUGACCCUCACAUUGUGCAGACAUGUAUGAUCACUCACCGUGAGCAGACAACACGUAUGACCCUCACGGUGUGCAGACAACACGUAUGACCCUCACGGUGUGCAGACAACAUGUAUGACCCUCACGGUGUGCAGACAACACGUAUGACCCUCACGGUGUGCAGACAACACGUAUGACCCUCACGGUGUGCAGACAACACGCCCAGAGCUUUACACGACUCCCUCGUAGGGGCUUGAUUGAGCGACUGACUGCUUGCCACAGGGUCGCGCUCAAGCUCCAAGGUGUCUGGCGCUGUGGGACCCAAGUCCCACAGUUGGUCUUGCUGCUGUGACCCUCCCUACCCUAGACCAAGACGCUCCUCUCAGGCAGGGCAGAAAUCACCUCCCAAAGCCAAGGCAAAGCCCAGACCUCACCCUGCACAAGAGGAUUCCUCACCACACGGGGGAAGGUGCGGGUCCCAUCCGUGGCACUGCAGCCGGGCUCACCUGGUGACCAGGACUGGGUGCCACGGGUGCUGGGCCAGCGCUCACCCCAGCCCCACCAGCAGGCAGGGAGGGUACAGGGCACUGCAGAGGGGAAACUGAGUCACAGAGAAUGGAGGGACUUGUCAGGAUUCUGACCCAUGGCUGGCAGAGCACAGGGGCCACGCGGCCCUAGGGCCCUCUCAGGCCUUGUCGCCCUCUCAGCCGGCGGGUAGGGGCCGGCCAUGCUAGUGGGUGUCCAAUCCCACCCGGGAAGGGCAGCGUGGGUCCAGCCCUGGUCCGAAUUCCUGUCCUGCCAGCUGGGAGGUGUGCGCAGGCCCCUUUGCCUUCUGUGCCUCAGUGUUUCCAUCUGUAGAUGGCAGUUGGCAGCGUCUUGGUGAGGAUUCGGCGGGUCCUGCCGCCCACCCACCCACGAUGGGCUUAAUCAACAGGUCCUGGCCAGGCGCGGUGGCUCAAGCCUGUAAUCCCAGCACUUUGGGAGGCCGAGAUGGGCGGAUCACGAGGUCAGGAGAUCGAGACCAUCCUGGCUAACACGGUGAAACCCCGUCUCUACUAAAAAUACAAAAAACUAGCCGGGCGCGGUGGCGGGCGCCUGUAGUCCCAGCUACUCGGGAGGCUGAGGCAGGAGAAUGGCGUGAACCCGGGAGGCGGAGCUUGCAGUGAGCUGAGAUCUGGCCACUGCACUCCAGCCUGGGCGGCAGAGCGAGACUCCGUCUCAAAAAAAAAAAAAAAAAAAAAAAAAAAUACAAAAAACUAGCCGAGCAUGGUGGCGGGUGCCUGUCAUCUCAGCUACUUGGGAGGCUGAGGCAGGAGAAUUGCUUGAACCCAGAAGGCGGAGGCUGCAGAGAGCCCACAUUGCACCACUGUACUGCAGCCCAGAAAACAGAGCAAAACUCCAUCUGCAAAAAACAAACAAAACAAAACAAAACAAAACAACCUGAAUGAAGCCGGCUUGAGCAAAGAAGGGACUUUACUGGCCCACCCUCUGAGCUGAAGUGGUGCGCCAUUAGGGACUUCAGGCAUAGCUGGAUCCAGGUGUCCACAAUGUCUCCAGGCUUCUGACUGCUCAUCUCUUGGCUCUGUUGUUCCCUAUGAUGGCUCCACACUGAAGAAAGGGCAUCUUUGUGUAAUUUGCACCAAACAGGCUGCCCCUGCCUGUGGUGCCCAUGGCCUUCCUGAGGGUCGGGAGACUCAGGAUGGCCGCCACGCUGGAAGGAGAGACUGCUGGCAGGUGUGCCCGCCUCCUUCACUGCACAGCACCCACUGGGACCGAGCGCUCUGCGGCGCCAGGGACGCUGGAGGCCCUGACAGUAGAUUCGCUCUGCUCAGGAUCAAUAUCACAAGGCAGCAAACGACCACAGCCAGGAGUGAACAAGGGCAUCUGACUCCUCCGGGGUGGGGGCUGACCUGAAGGGCAGUGAGCCAAGACCUGAGGCAGGGCGAGACACCACGCAGGCACGGCAUCCCUGGGUGGUGCCCACUUAGAAGUGGAGCGGGGAGGGCACGGGCAGCCGCAGCUCCCAGACAUCAGCACACACAGACGCACACACAAGUGCACACCAGCAGUGAUGCAGGCACACACAAGUGCAUGCAGUUACACAUGCAUACACAGUUCACAUGCUUACACGUGCACACGCCAGCACACACGCGCUGACACAGGCACACACAAGUGCACGCAGUUACACAUGCACACACAGCUCACAUGCUUACACAUGCACAUGCCAGCACACACGUGCUGAUGCAGGCACACACAAGUGCACACAGUUACACAUGCAUACACAGCUCAUGUGCUUAUACGUGCACAUGCCAGCACACACGCACUGACACAGGCACACACGAGUGCACACAGCUACACAUGCAUACACAGCUCACAUGCUUACACAUGCACACGCCAGCACACACGUGCUGAUGCAGGCACACACAAGUGCACACAGUUACACAUGCAUACACAGCUCAUGUGCUUACACGUGCACACGCCAGCACACACGCUCUGACACAGGCACACACAAGUGCACGCAGUUACACAUGCACACACAGCUCACGUGCUUACACGUGCACACGCCAGCACACACGUGCUGAUGCAGGCACACACAAGUGCACACAGUUACACACAUGCAUACACAGCUCACGUGCUUACAUGUGCACACACCAGCACACAGGCAGCUACACUCGAGUGCUUGCAGGCACUCACCUGGUCACAGGGCCACUGUUACACCAAACAGAUGACACAGUAACAUGGGCACACGUGCAGUCACACUGGCACACACAUGCAGAAGCACAUGGCUACGUAUGUGCACCUACCUGGCACGCACACACACGCAGCCUAGGGAUGAGUGGCUGGGGCUGAAGAGGGUACCAGGCGCCCGUAGCCCUGUCAACCCAUCACAGGCCCUGACGGGGACUCCUUAGUGCAGCUCCUCAGGCCACUGUCAGGAGGCGGGGCUGCGCCGAACCCGCAAUCCCAAAAGCUCCUGGUGGAUUUGAGAUGGCAGAGACCUCUGGGCCCCGCGGGCAGCGGCAGAGACAAAGCCCAGCCUGGGCUCAGAGCACGGAGACGGGCCCUGUCCUGAGGGAUCUGAGGGGGACAGGGUCCCGUCCUGAGGGAUCUGGGGGGGAUGGGGUCCUGUCCUAAGGGGUCUUGUGGGGGACGGGAUCCCAUCCUGAGGGGUCUUGUGGGGGACGGGGUCCUGUCCUGAGGGGUUGGGGGGGUAAUGGGGUCCUGUCCUGAGGGGUCUGUGGAGACGGGUUCCUGUCCCGUGGGAUCUGGGGGGGGGGACGGGGCCCUGUCCUGAGGUGUCUGAGGGGGGAUGGGGCCCUGUCCUGAGGGGUCUGAGGGGGGAUGGGGCCCUGUCCUGAGGGGUGUCAGGGGAGACGGGUCGGUGUCUGGUGGGGGUAGUGGAGAUGGGGUCCUGUCUGAAGGUUCUGGGUGGAGCUGGGACCCACCCUGUAGGCACCGUGUGGGG
ensembl:lncRNA